rnacentral:rRNA from 1 species
AGAUUGAACGCUGGCGGCAUGCUUUACACAUGCAAGUCGAGCGGCAGCGCGGGGGCAACCCUGGCGGCGAGCGGCGAACGGGUGAGGAAUACAUCGGAACGUGCCCCGGAGUGGGGGAUAACCCAGCGAAAGUUGGACUAAUACCGCAUAUGCUCUGAGGAGGAAAGCAGGGGACUUCGCAAGAGGCCUUGCGCUCUGGGAGCGGCCGAUGUCCGAUUAGCUAGUUGGUGGGGUAAUGGCUCACCAAGGCGACGAUCGGUAGCGGGUCUGAGAGGAUGAUCAGCCACACUGGGACUGAGACACGGCCCAGACUCCGUACGGGAGCAGCAGUAGGGGUAAUUUGGACAAGU